rnacentral:rRNA from 1 species
AACGCUGCGGCGUGCCUAAUACAUGCAAGUCGAACGCGAAAGUCCUUCGGGAUGAGUAAAGUGGCGCACGGGUGAGUAAUACAUGGGAACAUGCCCUUGGAUGGGGAAUAACGUUUGGAAACGAACGCUAAUACCGCAUAACCUCGCGAGAGUAAAGGUGGCGCCGCAAGGGCUACCGUCCAAGGAUUGGCCCAUGUCCCAUUAGCUAGUUGGCGGGGUAAUGGCCCACCAAGGCAACGAUGGGUAUGUGGUCUGAGAGGAUGAUCACACACACUGGAACUGAGACACGGUCCAGACUCCUACGGGAGGCAGCAGUAGGGAAUAUUGCACAAUGGGGGAAACCCUGAUGCAGCAACGCCGCGUGAGUGAAGAAGGCCCUUGGGUUGUAAAGCUCUUUAGCGAGGGAAGAAGGGGAUACGGUGAAUAAUCGUGCUCGCUGACGGACCUCGAGAAUAAGCACCG